rnacentral:rRNA from 1 species
AUUGAACGCUGGCGGCAGGCCUAACACAUGCAAGUCGAAUGGUAACAGGAAACAGCUUGCUGUUUCGCUGACGAGUGGCGGACGGGUGAGUAAUGUCUGGGAAACUGCCUGAUGGAGGGGGAUAACUACUGGAAACGGUAGCUAAUACCGCAUAACGUCGCAAGACCAAAGAGGGGGACCUUCGGGCCUCUUGCCAUCAGAUGUGCCCAGAUGGGAUUAGCUAGUAGGUGGGGUAACGGCUCACCUAGGCGACGAUCCCUAGCUGGUCUGAGAGGAUGACCAGCCACACUGGAACUGAGACACGGUCCAGACUCCUACAGGAGGAAGCAGUGGGGAAUAUUGCACAAUGGGCGAAAGCCUGAUGCAGCCAUGCCGCGUGUAUGAAGAAGGCCUUCGGGUUGUAAAGUACUUUCGGCGGGGAGGAAGGGAGUAAAGUUAAUACCUUUGCUCAUUGACGGUACCCGCAGAAGAAGCACCGGCUAACUCCGUG